rnacentral:rRNA from 1 species
CAUUCAGUGGCAAGCUUAACCGAAUAGGGAAGGCGUAGGGAAACCGAGUCCGAAUAGGGCGAUUCAGUCGCUGGGUGUAGACCCGAAACCAAGUGAUCUAUCCAUGGCCAGGAUGAAGGUGCCGUAACAGGUACUGGAGGUCCGAACCGACUAAUGUUGCAAAAUUAGCGGAUGAGCUGUGGAUAGGGGUGAAAGGCUAAACAAACUUGGAGAUAGCUGGUUCUCUCCGAAAACUAUUUAGGUAGUGCCUCAAGUAUUACCUGCGGGGGUAGAGCACUGUUUUGGCUAGGGGGUCAUGGCGACUUACCAAACCAAGGCAAACUCCGAAUACCGCAGAGUACAGCUUGGGAGACAGAGCACCGGGUGCUAACGUCCGGACUCAAGAGGGAAACAACCCAGACCGCCAGCUAAGGUCCCUAAAAUUGGCUAAGUGGGAAACGAAGUGGGAAGGCUAAAACAGUCAGGAUGUUGGCUUAGAAGCAGCCAUCAUUUAAAGAAAGCGUAAUAGCUCACUGAUCGAGUCGUCCUGCGCGGAAGAUGUAACGGGGCUAAGCCAGUUACCGAAGCUGCGGAUUUGCAAUUUAUUGCAAGUGGUAGGAGAGCGUUCUGUAAGCCUGUGAAGGUGUCUUGUGAAGGAUGCUGGAGGUAUCAGAAGUGCGAAUGCUGACAUGAGUAGCGUUAAAGGGGGUGAAAAGCCCCCUCGCCGUAAGCGCAAGGUUUCCUACGCAACGUUCAUCGGCGUAGGGUGAGUCGGCCCCUAAGGUGAGGCAGAGAUGCGUAGCUGAUGGGAAACAGGUCAAUAUUCCUGUACCGAUUACAAGUGCGAUGUGGGGACGGAGAAGGUUAGCUCAGCCAACUGUUGGAUAUGUUGGUUCAAGCCUGUAGUCAUGCCUGGUAGGCAAAUCCGCCGGGCUUAGAUGAGGGGUGAUAACGAGUCUGCUUGCAGACGAAGUGAGUGAUACCCUGCUUCCAGGAAAAGCCACUAAGCUUCAGCUUGUAAUUGACCGUACCGCAAACCGACACUGGUGCGCGAGAUGAGUAUUCUAAGGCGCUUGAGAGAACUCUGGAGAAGGAACUCGGCAAAUUGACACCGUAACUUCGGGAGAAGGUGUGCCCUCAGUAGGUGAACCUGUACAAGGGGAGCCCAAAGGGGUUGCAAAGAAUAGGUGGCUGCGACUGUUUAUUAAAAACACAGCACUCUGCAAACACGAAAGUGGACGUAUAGGGUGUGACGCCUGCCCGGUGCUGGAAGAUUAAUUGAUGGGGUGCAA